UCCGCUUCCUUCCAGGGGGCGGAACGCGCUAGAAAAGUAGUCCCCUUCUCGGCGUUUCUGCGGAGGGAUCUCUCCGGGGCGGUCGGAGACUAUAUAAGGUGGCGCCGGGCGGGGCGCGUGUAGUUUCGCCGAGGUUGCAGUUUUGUCUCUCAUCUCUAGCGUGCGCCGCCGCCGCCUUCGACAGUUGAGACAAUGCAAAUCUUCGUGAAGACCCUCACUGGCAAGACCAUCACCCUCGAGGUGGAACCCAGUGACACCAUUGAGAACGUCAAGGCCAA